rnacentral:rRNA from 1 species
UCAAAGAUUAAGCCAUGCAUGUGUAAGUAUAAACAAAUUAUAUUGUGAAACUGCGAAUGGCUCAUUAAAUCAGUUAUAAUUUAAUUGAUAAUGACGUUUACUAUAUGGAUAGCCGUAGUAAUUCUAGAGCUAAUACAUGCGUAAAGGUCAAACUCUUUAGGGAAUGACUGUAUUUAUUAGAUCGAAGACCAAACCCAUUUUAUGGGAUUAGGUGAAUCAUAAUAAGUUUGUCGAAUCGUGAUUAAGUUGACGAUGUGUCAUUGAAAUUUCUGCCCUAUCAACUUGUGAUGGUAGGAUAGAGGCCUACGAUGGUUUUGACGGGUAACGGGGAAUUAGGGUUCGAUUCCGGAGAGGGAGCCUGAGAAACGGCUACCACUUCUAAGGAAGGCAGCAGGCGCGCAAAUUACCCAAUCCCAAUAAUUUUGGGGAGGUAGUGACAAAAAAUACUGAUUCGUUGCACAAUAGUGUGAUGAAAUUAGAAUGGUCUUGAUAUAACACAUCGAGAGAGAAACAAUUAGAGGGCAAGUCUGGUGCCAGCAGCCGCGGUAAUUCCAGCUCUAAUAGUGUAUACUAAAAUUGCUGCAGUUAAAAAGCUCGUAGUUGGAUUUGUGAUACUAAACAUUUUCCAUUAGUUUUGGGGUUAAUGGAUCUAAGUUAACUUCCAUAAUAACUGAUGGGUGUAUAGAAUCAAAUGAAUUUUUCGAAGGGGUAUAUUACACUUAAUUGUGGUAAUGUAUCUACUCGGAGGGUUUACUUUGAAGAAAAUGGAGUGUUCAAAGCAGGUAAAAAAAAUGCAACUGAACAGAUUAGCAUGGAAUAAUAAAAUAGGACACGAAGGUCACUGUAAUAGGUGAUCACUAUGGUAUCGAAAGGUAUUAUAGUUACUGUUUUGUUGGUCCACAGUAUAUGUGUAAUGAUUAAUAGGGACAGUUGGGGACAUUGGUAUUGCAUCGUCAGAGGUGAAAUUCUUGGAUUGAUGCAAGACGAACGAGUGCGAAAGCAUUUGUCAAGGAUGUUUUCAUUAAUCAAGAACGAAAGUUAGGGGAUCGAAGGCGAUCAGAAACCGCCCUAGUCUUAACUAUAAACUAUGCCAACUAGGGAUUGUCGGGUAUAGGAAAUAUUUUAGGAUAUUUCUGUUAUGCUAGAUUUAUGUGGGAAUUCGUUCCUGUGUAAAUUGCCUCGCCAGCACCUGUGGAGAAAUCAUAAGUCUUUGGGUUCUGGGGGGAGUAUGGUCACAAGGCUGAAACUUAAAGAAAUUGACGGAAGGGCACCACCAGGUGUGGAGCCUGCGGCUUAAUUUGACUCAACACGGGGAAACUUACCAGGUCCAGACAGCGGAAGGAUUGACAGAUUGAUAGUUUUUUCUUGAUUCGGUGGGUGGUGGUGCAUGGUCGUUCUUAGUUGGUGGAGCGAUUUGUCUGCUUAAUUGCGAUAACGAACGAGACCUCAACCUGCUAAAUAAGCUUUUCGGUAGUUUUAUGCUACCGGUUAAAAUUAAGCUGCUUAGAGGGACAACCACUAUUGAGGUGGGGGAAGCAUGAGGCAAUAACAGGUCUGUGAUGCCCUUAGAUGUCCUGGGCCGCACGCGCGCUACACUGAUUAAAUCAACAAGCUCAGAUAUAAGGAAUCUUUCGGGAUGACUUUUCUCCUUAUCCGAAAGGAUUGGGUAAUCUUUUGAAUUUUAAUCGUGCUGGGGAUUGAUUUUUGUAAUUAUGGAUCAUGAACUAGGAAUACCUAGUAAGUGCAAUUCAUCAGAUUGCGCUGAUUACGUCCCUGCCCUUUGUACACACCGCCCGUCGCUCCUACCGAUUGAAUGAUCAGAUGAAAUUUUCGGAUUGUAUCUGAGGGCCUCAAAACCCUUUGUUUACAAGAAGAGAAAGUAAAUCUUAUUAUUUAGA